rnacentral:rRNA from 1 species
GACGAACGCUGGCGGCGUGCUUAACACAUGCAAGUCGUACGGUAAGGCCCUUUCGGGGGUACACGGGUGGCGAACGGGUGAGUAACACGUGAGUAACCUGCCCACAACUUUGGGAUAACGCUAGGAAACUGGUGCUAAUACUGGAUAUGUGCUCCUGCUGCAUGGUGGGGGUUGGAAAGCUCCGGCGGUUGUGGAUGGACUCGCGGCCUAUCAGCUUGUUGGUGGGGUAGUGGCCUACCAAGGCGGCGACGGGUAGCCGGCCUGAGAGGGUGACCGGCCACAUUGGGACUGAGAUACGGCCCAGACUCCUACGGGAGGCAGCAGUGGGGAAUAUUGCACAAUGGGCGCAAGCCUGAUGCAGCAACGCCGCGUGCGGGAGGACGGCCUUCGGGUUGUAAACCGCUUUCAGCAGGGACGAAGCUUUUUGUGACGGUACCUGCAGAAGAAGCACCGGCUAACUACGUG